GGCCAGACUCCUACGGGAGGCAGCAGUGGGAAAUAUUGCACAAGGGGGGGAACCCUGAUGCAGCAAUGCCGCGUGAAGGAUGAAGGUUUUCGGAUUGUAAACUUCUUUUGUACGGGACGAAGAAAGUGACGGUACCGUAAGAAUAAGCACCGGCUAACUCCGUGCCAGCAGCCGCGGUAAUACGGAGGGUGCAAGCGUUACUCGGAAUCACUGGGCGUAAAGAGUGCGUAGGCGGGGUAAUAAGUCAGAUGUGAAAUCCUGUAGCUUAACUACAGAACUGCAUUUGAAACUGUUACUCUGGAGUGUGGGAGAGGUAGGUGGAAUUCUUGGUGUAGGGGUAAAAUCCGUAGAGAUCAAGAGGAAUACUCAUUGCGAAGGCGACCUGCUGGAACAUUACUGACGCUGAUGCACGAAAGCGUGGGGAGCAAACAGGAUUAGAUACCCCCGUAU
rnacentral:rRNA from 1 species